GGGGGUAUAGCUCAGUGGGAGAGCAUUUGACUGCAAAUAAAAAUUAAUACUACCUGUAUUCCCCCCA
rnacentral:tRNA from 1 species